AACGUAGGACACGAGCGUUAUCCGGAGUUACUGGGCGUAAAGGGCGAGUAGGUGGUGCGAUAAGACUGGUGUGAAAGCCUUCGGCUUAACCGAGGGAGGACACUGGUGACUGUCGGACUUGAGGCAGAUAGAGGGGUGUAGAAUUCCGGGUGUAGUGGUGAAAUGCGUAGAGAUCCGGAGGAAUACCAGAGGCGAAGGCGGCACCCUGGGUCUGACCUGACACUGAUCCGCGACAGCAUGGGGAGCAAACAGG
rnacentral:rRNA from 1 species